AGAGUUUGAUCAUGGCUCAGAUUGAACGCUGGCGGCAGGCCUAACACAUGCAAGUCGAGCGGUAGCACAGAGAGCUUGCUCUCGGGUGACGAGCGGCGGACGGGUGAGUAAUGUCUGGGAAACUGCCUGAUGGAGGGGGAUAACUACUGGAAACGGUAGCUAAUACCGCAUAAUGUCGCAAGACCAAAGUGGGGGACCUUCGGGCCUCAUGCCAUCAGAUGUGCCCAGAUGGGAUUAGCUAGUAGGUGGGGUAACGGCUCACCUAGGCGACGAUCCCUAGCUGGUCUGAGAGGAUGACCAGCCACACUGGAACUGAGACACGGUCCAGACUCCUACGGGAGGCAGCAGUGGGGAAUAUUGCACAAUGGGCGCAAGCCUGAUGCAGCCAUGCCGCGUGUGUGAAGAAGGCCUUCGGGUUGUAAAGCACUUUCAGCGGGGAGGAAGGCGGUAAGGUUAAUAACCUCAUCGAUUGACGUUACCCGCAGAAGAAGCACCGGCUAACUCCGUGCCAGCAGCCGCGGUAAUACGGAGGGUGCAAGCGUUAAUCGGAAUUACUGGGCGUAAAGCGCACGCAGGCGGUCUGUCAAGUCGGAUGUGAAAUCCCCGGGCUCAACCUGGGAACUGCAUUCGAAACUGGCAGGCUAGAGUCUUGUAGAGGGGGGUAGAAUUCCAGGUGUAGCGGUGAAAUGCGUAGAGAUCUGGAGGAAUACCGGUGGCGAAGGCGGCCCCCUGGACAAAGACUGACGCUCAGGUGCGAAAGCGUGGGGAGCAAACAGGAUUAGAUACCCUGGUAGUCCACGCCGUAAACGAUGUCGAUUUGGAGGUUGUGCCCUUGAGGCGUGGCUUCCGGAGCUAACGCGUUAAAUCGACCGCCUGGGGAGUACGGCCGCAAGGUUAAAACUCAAAUGAAUUGACGGGGGCCCGCACAAGCGGUGGAGCAUGUGGUUUAAUUCGAUGCAACGCGAAGAACCUUACCUGGUCUUGACAUCCACAGAACUUAGCAGAGAUGCUUUGGUGCCUUCGGGAACUGUGAGACAGGUGCUGCAUGGCUGUCGUCAGCUCGUGUUGUGAAAUGUUGGGUUAAGUCCCGCAACGAGCGCAACCCUUAUCCUUUGUUGCCAGCGGUUAGGCCGGGAACUCAAAGGAGACUGCCAGUGAUAAACUGGAGGAAGGUGGGGAUGACGUCAAGUCAUCAUGGCCCUUACGACCAGGGCUACACACGUGCUACAAUGGCAUAUACAAAGAGAAGCGACCUCGCGAGAGCAAGCGGACCUCAUAAAGUAUGUCGUAGUCCGGAUUGGAGUCUGCAACUCGACUCCAUGAAGUCGGAAUCGCUAGUAAUCGUAGAUCAGAAUGCUACGGUGAAUACGUUCCCGGGCCUUGUACACACCGCCCGUCACACCAUGGGAGUGGGUUGCAAAAGAAGUAGGUAGCUUAACCUUCGGGAGGGCGCUUACCACUUUGUGAUUCAUGACUGGGGUGAAGUCGUAACAAGGUAACCGUAGGGGAACCUGCGGUUGGAUCACCU
rnacentral:rRNA from 1 species